AUUGAACGCUGGCGGAAUGCUUUACACAUGCAAGUCGAACGGCAGCACGGGGCAACCUGGUGGCGAGUGGCGAACGGGUGAGUAAUACAUCGGAACGUGCCCAAUCGUGGGGGAUAACGUAGCGAAAGUUACGCUAAUACCGCAUACGAUCUACGGAUGAAAGCGGGGGAUCGCAAGACCUCGCGCGAGUGGAGCGGCCGAUGUCAGAUUAGGUAGUUGGUGGGGUAAAGGCUCACCAAGCCAACGAUCUGUAGCUGGUCUGAGAGGACGACCAGCCACACUGGAACUGAG
rnacentral:rRNA from 1 species